AUUUAUUACCAAAACAAACCAAGGAGACUGACUUCAGGGGCCAAGUUUAAGGAGGAAAAAGGCUCUGAAAAUUUUGGUGUUAAAAGAGGUAAGAGCAUCUUGAGAGCAUUUCAAGUGGAGGACUUUGCUGACCUGAGCAUGGCUCUGUACAAGGCACUGUAUGUCAUCAUGCCUUUUGAAGAAAUUACUUGGCCCCAGGGACCAUGCAGCCUUUUACCAGAAAGAGGUUUUAAACCAAUAAAAUAAUUUGUCAAAGCCAGCCUAUCAAUGCCCAGUUUUCUAGUCCUAAUUUCUGCUCUUGAGAGGUAUGGAAAACUGUAGACUUGCAUUCCCUGGUCACUGUCAUAUCUUUCAAUGAAAAUUUUAGUGGUGUAUUUAAAAGGCUCUAGCUCAUUUGCAUUACAAAAAAGCCUUGUAAUCUUAUUAUGCUGAUAGAUACAGCUACUUGUGCUUAAUUGAUGGAAUUAAGCAAUUAUACUAUUUUUUGU
rnacentral:lncRNA from 1 species